CCAGGAUGUUGGACUGUCUGCCAACAAUGAAUGGAGCUACUGUAAACACCCACAUGCAGACUUUUGAGCGAAUAUAGCUUCCAACUCCUUUGGAAGCAUGUGAGGAUCCUUCUUACUGAAAGAACCAGCCUGAACUUUGGAAAAUCCAAGAGAAAAAAGAAGAGACUUGACUUCCCCAAAAGGAGAAUGCUUGAGACUUUUUAAAAGGUCAAUACACCACCAUCUUAUCAGUCUCAUGUAUGAAGAAACUGAGGCCACUGAGCUAAUAUUUGUAACUUCAGAACAACUCGACCUCUGCUGUGUCCAAAUCUUAGUAAAUGUCUCUCUUGUGUCUAA
rnacentral:lncRNA from 1 species